GAUGAAGAACGUAGCGAAAUGCGAUAAGUAAUGUGAAUUGCAGAAUUCAGUGAAUCAUCGAAUCUUUGAACGCACAUUGCGCCCGUUAGCAUUCUAGCGGGCAUGCCUGUCCGAGCGUCAUUUCAACCCUCAGGGUCCCCGUUCCGGCGGGGAACCUGGUGUUGGGGAUCGGCCCGCCCCGUGCGGCGCCGUCCCCCAAAUUCAGUGGCGGUCUCGCUGCAGCCUCCCCUGCGUAGUAGUUACACCCUCGCAUCGGAGCUCAGCGCGGCCACGCCGUAAAACCCCCGACUUUCUGAACGUUGACCUCGGAUCAGGUAGGAAUACCCGCUGAACUUAAGCAUAUCAAUAAGCGGAGA
rnacentral:misc_RNA from 1 species